rnacentral:lncRNA from 1 species
GAGAGAUCUGAGCAGCAUGAGUUUUUGGUGAGAGAGAGAGAGAUACUUCAAUGUGUGUGUGCAUGUGGUGAUUGAAUAAAGAGAGGAGUGUUAUGCUUUUAAUAAAGGUAGAGGGAGAGAAGGAAUAUUUUUAAAAAAAAAGAGAUAGAGAGAGGGAGAUUAUAUAAAGUGUGUGUGUGGUGAUUGAAGAGAGAGAGAGAUAAAAAAAAAGUGUGUGUGCGUGUGUUUUGUUGUGAGAAGAGAGAAAGAUUAAAAAGUUUGUGUGAGUGUGUUUUGAUAGAAGAGAGAGAGGGGGAAUGUUGGCUUUAAUAAAGAGAGAAAGAGAGUUAUAAAAAAAUGUGUGUGCAGCGUGUGUUUUGUUAAUUGUAAUGCCCCGCUCUUUUAAAUAUAUAUUAGAUUAAACAUGUG